AUUGAACGCUGGCGGCAUGCCUUACACAUGCAAGUCGAACGGUAACAGGUCUUCGGAUGCUGACGAGUGGCGAACGGGUGAGUAAUACAUCGGAACGUGCCCGAUCGUGGGGGAUAACGAAGCGAAAGCUUUGCUAAUACCGCAUACGAUCUACGGAUGAAAGCAGGGGACCGCAAGGCCUUGCGCGAACGGAGCGGCCGCUGGCAGAUUAGGUAGUUGGUGGGAUACAAGCUUACCAAGCCGACGAUCUGUAGCUGGUCUGAGAGGACGACCAGCCACACUGGGACUGAGACACGGCCCAGACUCCUACGGGAGGCAGCAGUGGGGAAUUUUGGACAAUGGGCGAAAGCCUGAUCCAGUCAUGCCGCGUGCAGGAUGAAGGCCUUCGGGUUGUAAACUGCUUUUGUACGGAACGAAAAGACUCUGGUUAAUACCUGGGGUCCAUGACGGUACCGUAAGAAUAAGCACCGGCUAACUACGUG
rnacentral:rRNA from 1 species